rnacentral:rRNA from 1 species
UACGAAGGGGGCUAGCGUUGCUCGGAAUCACUGGGCGUAAAGGGUGCGUAGGCGGGUCCUUAAGUCAGGGGUGAAAUCCUGGAGCUCAACUCCAGAACUGCCUUUGAUACUGAGGAGCUUGAGUCCGGGAGAGGUGAGUGGAACUGCGAGUGUAGAGGUGAAAUUCGUAGAUAUUCGCAAGAACACCAGUGGCGAAGGCGGCUCACUGGCCCGAUACUGACGCUGAGGCACGAAAGCGUGGGGAGCAAACAGG